GAGGUUUCUGUGAGUUCAUGGAGAGAGAGGUGCCACUUGACAGGGCCUUUUGUUACCUUUUCUGUGCUGGUCUCUUACCAAAGGCCUGCUUCUCUGCCGCUUAUCCUUAAAGGCCCAACCUUAGGGGAUUGUUUACUUCUCAGCUUCAGGAGGAAUGUUCCAAAGUAUUCUCAAGUAGUUGAGAAGUGGAGAAGGAGUGAGAAGGAGGAAGGAGCCUGGUCUGAAAUUGGAUGGGGACCCUUAAUGGCAAACUUGGGGGCAUGCAUAGUCUUUUGGAAGCCGGAACAAUGCUGCUAAGCAAGUGAUGUCCGUGACCCUCACCCGUGCACUCGACUGGAGGAACCCUAGAGGGUAAUUCCAUGGGCUGUAGGGGAUCAUCUUCUAAAUGCUCCAAGUACAUCACUCUCCAGUGCAGACAAACCCAGGGACAGUUUGGUCCAGCCGCUGCUUUCUUCUGCAUGCUGACAUCACUCUCCUACCUAUAACAGCAGGAUUCCAAGGCAGUGGAUGGCUGAGGGCCCACAAUUUCUCUAUCCAAUUCCAGCCAUAGGCUGCGUGCACAUGCCCAGGAUCUUCUUGGUGCCCUUCCAGAAACUACCCCUGCAUGUCUCCUGCAUGUCUCCUGCACUGCCUCCCUUUCUCAGAAGCUGGUCGUGUUGUUCUGUAGUCCUUGGAGAUUACUGCCUUGUUCUCGAUGGCUCAAAGAGCGAAAACUGGAGCAUGAUUUGGGGGUUAUGGAAACAAUAAAACAGCGGGCUGGGGGAGAGAGCCAUUUGCUCACAGACGUGGAUGCUGCUGUAAUGAAAAGGAUGACAAGGAUAGUGUCAUCAUUUGGAAUCUGGGGGAAGUCGGUUCAGGAUCCCUGCAGAUCCCUUCAUACUUCGUCCUGUAAGCUCUCCAGGAUGAGUUAUCACCUAGAACAACGUACAUCUUAGAGCAGUAAUUGCCACAGUGCAUGGUUCAGGAACAGGAACGAGCAUAUUAGCAUAGACAGAAAUUUUUGCACCAGAUACUUUUGACCCGAG
rnacentral:lncRNA from 1 species